GGGCCAUUAGCUCAUUUGGUAGAGCAUCUGCCUCUUAAGCAGGUGGUGGCAGGUCCGAAUCCUGCAUGGCCCA
rnacentral:tRNA from 1 species